rnacentral:rRNA from 1 species
GGCUCAGGAUUAACGCUGGCGGCGCGCCUAAUACAUGCAAGUCGAACGGAGACCCCUUAAAAGGUCUUAGUGGCGAACGGGUGAGUAACACGUAAGUAACCUACCUUUAAGACGAGGAUAACAAUUGGAAACGGUUGCUAAGACUGGAUAGGAAAUAAAAAGGCAUCUUUUUAUUUUUAAAAGACCUUCUUCGGAGGGUAUGCUUAAAGAGGGGCUUGCGCCACAUUAGUUAGUUGGUGAGGUAAAGGCUCACCAAGAUUAUGAUGUGUAGCUGGACUGAGAGGUUGAACAGCCACAUUGGGACUGAGACACGGCCCAAACUCCUACGGGAGGCAGCAGUAGGGAAUUUUCGGCAAUGGAGGAAACUCUGACCGAGCGACGCCGCGUGAACGAUGAAGUAUUUCGGUAUGUAAAGUUCUUUUAUUGAAGAAGAAAAAAUAAUGGAAAAAUUAUCUUGACGUUAUUCAAUGAAUAAGCCCCGGCUAACUAUGUGCCAGCAGCCGCGGUAAGACAUAGGGGGCGAGCGUUAUCCGGAAUUAUUGGGCGUAAAGGGUGCGUAGGCGGUUAAAUAAGUCUAUAAUUUAAUUUCAGUGCUUAACGCUGUCUUGUUAUAGAAACUAUUUUGACUAGAGUGAGAUAGAGGCAAGCGGAAUUCCAUGUGUAGCGGUAAAAUGUGUAAAUAUAUGGAGGAACACCAGAAGCGUAGGCGGCUUGCUGGGUCUUUACUGACGCUGAGGCACGAAAGCGUGGGGAGCAAACAGGAUUAGAUACCCUGGUAGUCCACGCUGUAAACGAUGAGUACUAAGUGUCGGGGUAACUCGGUACUGAAGUUAACACAUUAAGUACUCCGCCUGAGUAGUACGUACGCAAGUAUGAAACUUAAAGGAAUUGACGGGACUCCGCACAAGCGGUGGAUCAUGUUGUUUAAUUCGAAGAUACACGAAAAACCUUACCAGGUCUUGACAUACUCUGCAAAGCUAUAGAAAUAUAGUGGAGGUUAUCAGGGAUACAGGUGGUGCAUGGUUGUCGUCAGUUCGUGUCGUGAGAUGUUAGGUUAAGUCCUAAAACGAACGCAACCCCUUUCGUUAGUUGCCAGCACGUAAUGGUGGGGACUUUAGCGAUACUGCCAAUUAAAAGUUGGAGGAAGGUGGGGAUAACGUCAAAUCAUCAUGCCCCUUAUGAUCUGGGCUACAAACGUGAUACAAUGGCCGUUACAAAGAGUAGCUGAAACGCGAGUUCUUAGCCAAUCUCAAAAAGACGGUCUCAGUCCGGAUUGAAGUCUGCAACUCGACUUCAUGAAGCUGGAAUCGCUAGUAAUCGCGAAUCAGCAUGUCGCGGUGAAUACGUUCUCGGGGUUUGUACACACCGCCCGUCAACCCAUGAAAGUUUGCAAUACCCGAAAGCAGUGGCUUAACUUCGUAAGAAGAGGGAGC